rnacentral:lncRNA from 1 species
UCUGAAUCCCCACCUCCCUGACACAGCCCCAAGGCAACUUGGAAAGUGGACAUAGCUCAUCCUAACGGCUGAUGACUUCCACAGUAAAGCUUCUCAUUGCUGUGCUGGAGGACAUGGCCAGGCUCAUGGAAUUCUCAGCAUUGAUGCUUCCCCAGCACCACUUCCUCUGCACCCCAUCACUCAAAGUGUUCUUCAGGAAAAUUCUGCACCUUCAGGAUAGCUGCAUUUCUCCUGACCUCCCAAGAAGACAGCCCCUCUGCACCUGAGAACCCAGAGACCACACAGCACAGACCUCCGACACCUGCUUUUCUAAUAAGUCCUCGUACUUCUCAGGGCC